UAGAAAUAUCCGUAGUCGAAUAUUCACUGACGUCAGAGUCAGGAAUAUUACACAUAAACAAUCAUAGUAUAAACAAAAAAAAAUAUUAGCAAUUAAUGAUUUAAAUUUAUUUACUUUGAUACCUACGCAAUAUUUACCAACGUCAGAGUUGGAAAUAUCCGUAGUUGAAUAUUCACUGGCGCCAGAGUCAGGAAUAUUACACACAAACAAUCAUAAUAUAAACCAACAAAAAAAAUAUUGGCAAUUAAAGACAAAGAGUAGCAAUGUAGCCUGUCUUAGGUAGGACGUUUAAGGGGUGAUGAUAUCUUCCCUUUUACUUAAUCAGUCUCGAACCAUAGAAUCUCUAUUGACCAGUUAGGGUUCCUAGUAACCAUAAUACUAGGUGGCGACUCCUUAAACAAAGACCAUUCCCCCAUCAAAGAAUAGGAUGUCAGAAAUCCAUUCUUUUCAUUCCAUUAAAAAUUUUAAGGCCGUUGCGAUGUCGGGUGCGACACCAACACUCUACCCUUCAAGGAGAAUUAGAAAAACACAGGAAUGCUGCUCUUGAAGGAAACGAAACUCAUUACGGUGCUUCGAAAGGCAAGGUAAUAUCACCCCCCACAUUUGAUCCGAGAAAAUCGAGGACGCUACAUCUGGUCUGCGUGAAAGCUUUGCAACACCAGGGAAACAAGGAGCUCCAAGCAAAUUGUACUUUGAAGUACUGUCUCAACAGUAGAAAGACUCGCUGCAGCAGGCCCAACUGAUAACUGCAUGAAGAUCCGUUGAUGCUUGACAAGAUCGCAUCCUUGCUCUCGUUCCCCCACAAAGAUGAAAUAUCUGUUGUGCUGUUUUACGUUGUUUCUGUUCUGAUGUUGAUCAUUCAGCUGGUUUUUAGAUUUGACCGUGUAGAUCUGGUCGGUCCAGGAAUUGCAACUACGUCCAUACGAGGAAAAUAAACAUUUUUUUUUAAUUUUACCUGUAGAGAUAAAUAGUGCAUCUUUUCUGAUUUGAUCAAAUGAUUGGUAAAAUGGACAGGGAAAUUUCGGUUCCUGUUUCAUCUAACAAGUAACAGCUGCAAUUUAGUCUGGUUUAUCAGAUAUAUUUUUGUCGUCUACUUCCAUUUUGAUUGCUGUUCUAAUACAUGUUCCAUGACCUUUGAUUUUGAUUUUGGGGGUAUGGAUCAUGUCCCAUGAUCUUUGGUUCGAGGAUAUUUAUCCAAUUUGGCAAAUACAAUAAAUCUGAGAGAAAUGAGUGUUCAAACUGACCCAACAUGGUCUGGUAAUCAACUUGAAGAUGUUGUUCAACUUGAAGAUUUUGUUGCUUGUUUAUGUAAACACAAUUUAGCUUUAGGAUGACUGCGGUAAUAACUCUGAAGCAUGUAAGCAGGUCAUGUUCGUUCAAUUUUCAUCUCCCUUCCAACCAUACUUGUGGGCCUAGAAAAAUAUUAUAGAAGGAAACAGCUCCGAGCCGAGGAAGCUUGUACAAAUGAAAGGGCAUAUAGGAAACCCCCAAGCCUGGUGCAGCCAAGCGACAGCAUUGUGAGGUAGCCUGCUACAACGAAGCAGCAAGAUCUGCUUUGCAAUUAGCCUCUUCCUUAGUAGCCAAGCGAUCAGCUGAGCUGGGCUUCUCCAAGGGCCGUAGGCAACACCAGCAUUGCGAAUUCAUCUGGUGAAGAAAAAACCCUCCUGGAAGCAUCUUAUUUUUCCUCAUUGCGGGGUCCAGUAAAAUGUGUAAUAAUAAAUAUUAAAAUUUGGCAGGGUAUAUCCUCAAAUGACCACAAGACUCCUUCGGGUUAGUUUGAGGUGUACUGUCUUCGCCAUCGCAUUGUUGCAUUCUCGUUUCUGUCUACAACUGGGAAAGAGGGACUAAACAAAGACAAGUAGAAAUGGUUCGUGGGGAUAGUAUUUCUUGCAGGAGAACAUAAGGAAGAGAACUACAAGGCGGAGCUCUUGGUUUACAAAGAUGAGGAUGUUUUAUUUUGAGGAAAAAGGCGCCUUACAUGCAAGUUUUCCCUAACAAAAAUCCAUUAUCCAAUCAUCGAAGACUACCUACAUGCCGCAACUUGCUCACCAUGAUUACAUGUCUUUCGAUCAGAAGAACAAUGCUCACUGAUUUGGGUACAAAGGGUGAAAUAUUUA